GACACAGCAACAGCGCUGGGGCAAGCAGUGAGCACAGCACUGAUCCUGCCUGGGUCUUUUAUGACUCUAUUCCUCUAGGAGCUCCCUGUAAGAGAGAGGUGCGGCUGCAGGAGGAGGGGUCCCACCGUGCUGCACGCAGAGCAGCACCAGGCUUGGCAGGGAAUGGCCAGGUGGGCUCAGGCAGACGUGUUUCCUGCCCUGCUCGCAGCUGCUGCCUGAGAGCCGGUGCUUUGGGGCCACACUCCUCCCUUCUGGGUGCUGUGGGAGCAGCAUGGUUGCAUUUCAUCCUAAUGCCCUUCAGCCCUGAGAGCGUUUCCGCAGCUGCUACUUCUGGGCCCCACCACAACAGGUUCUGCCGCUGGGUGACUCACCUGCGGAGCCACUGUCACAAAAUCACUGAUCAGGAGCAAGCUGACUGACAGAGCAGGAUUUUUUCAUGCUCCUCUACAGAUGAUGAGAGGAACCACAGCCUCCCCGCUCCUCGUCCAUCCCUUCCGCAUUGCGCCGGGUUGUUUUCAAACAGAGAUUCUGCUUUCCCAACAGCUGAGGAGAGAGCUGCUGCCAGCUGUGAGCACAGUGCCAGUGGGAGCCUGCAGAGCAUCACAUCCCUGCAGCUCACAGCCAGGGACGUGUCCCCUCCCUGUGCCAGAGCCCUGAGAUGAGGACACUGCUCUGGGACGGGCAGCAACACAGCCCUGUAGCCUGACCAGGGAUCCUGGCAUCCACAUGCAGGUAUCCCUGAGCCUUGAUUGAGUGGGACCCUGCCAGGAAGAGGCAGCUGGGAGGGCAGAGCUGCUCAGUGGGAACCAGUCGAGCCAGCGGGUGAGGAGCGGUGUCACUGGGCAAGCAGGGGACAUGCAGGACACACCGGGCUCUGGGAGUGGCUCCCAGCCCGGCCAGCUGUGAGCAGCUCCUGCGGGAAGGCAGCAGGCACGGGGAGAUGGACUCUGGGACAGGGCAAGGGCUCAUCAGUGUGUUCGGGUUCAUCUUGGGCAUCGGGCUGGCCUUGCUGAUACUGAUCAUUUCUGGCUACGCCGUUUUCCUUUGCUACCAGCAGGGCUGGUGCUGGUGCCGCCCUGACUUCAUCUUCAACCUCUACCAUGGCCGCAGGCUGAGGUCGGUAGCAGUGGAGCUGGCGCCUCCAUUCAGCAUCAGUGCCUCUGUGAGCCAGGCAGGGAACGGCUACGUGCGCUUCCAUGAGCAGGGGCUGUGAGCAGCAGGGCAUGGUCCUGCUCCUUGUGUGUGGGGUCCCAGCCUCAUGGAGAUUCUGCAGAGCCUGGAGCAGCAUGCAUGGGGCCUUCCCAUGGUGGUGAGUGUGAUGCAUCCCAAAGCUUUCUGCACCCCAGAGCCUCCUUCCCCUCCUGUAGCUCUGACUGUGGCUUUCCCUGGGAGAGUCCCAAGGAUUUUCCUCUGAAAGUCCUCUCCAAAGCAGUGAGGGAGGAGGGGCUGGAAUGUGACAUGCUCCCUGUGCCUGCAUGGCACUAGCAGCUUCUCCUUGCUGCCUCUUCCACCCACCAGCAGCCACAGACAGAAGAACAGAACUGGCCAUGGGGAAAUUCCUCUAUGCUAGGUUAAAGAACAACUCCCAGAUACGUGGGAUUUCUACUAAAUUUGGAGCAGUGCUGUUUCUGUAUUUUUAUCAAGCUUCUCCAUUCUCUGCUGCGUUUCCUUCUCUGCCCCCGUUGGCCUUGGGCAGGGCUGGAAGAGGGCCACUGCUGGGCAUGGGCUCAGCCUCCAUCUCUUGAAGUGCAGGAAAAAGGGCGCUGCUUCAUCCCAAGCACCCACCCUGCAGAGCAAAGCGACCCUACGUUCCCCGCUAAUCUGACAUCCCGGUGCUUGGGACCCCAGUUUGCCCAGCAGACCUUGGGGCAGGAGUAUGAGGAACCAGCCCAAAAGUGUGGCAAGGAGCCACAGAAAUGGAUGGCUGACUGUGCAAGAGGGGAAAACGCUGUAAGGAAAUGAGAGCACUUCAGGCUUCCCUUAGUUGAGGGACUGCACCCAUAUGGAAAUUUCUCCAGUUUGUACCGACCGUGCAAGAGAACACUCCAGAAAUCCCCUGUGGGUUUCCUCGAGGCUUUCUGGUGUGGGUCUCAGCAGCCCAGUGCUGGGCUGUUGGGCACAGCAGGAUAGGUCCCCAUGGGGAUGAGCUGUAUGGGACAGCUCUGAGCCCAGCAUGGCUCUGCCCCUCCAUGGGCUGCCCUCUGCUGCCUCCAUCCCCUCGGAGCCUCACACCCCCGGCACGGGGCUCUGUGGGUGGCGGAUCUGUUGGAAAUGCUUUGGAAAUGUUGGAGCAUCAUUGGGAAUGCAUUGAGGUGUCAGUGCUGGGGAGGAAAGGGGUCUUUACAGGAGCAGCCCUCCCCCCCCCUCCCCCCCCUCUAUGGCAGGGGGCCGAGAUGUGACGCUACGCACUGCAUGGAGAGGAAGGGGGAGGAAAAAGCUUUCUGCAGAAGGAAUGGAAGAGGAACAACCUCAGCGUGUUGGGCUGUGACUUCACCAAGGAAAAUGUGAGCGCCUGUAGUUUCCCGGAGCCAAAGGGGCUGUCCGUGCUCUCUGCUUUUGAAGCCAAAGCGUGAGGUUUUCUGGCAAAGCCAUCUGUUUCACUGAGAGCUCACUGUGGGGCGGGGGGGGGGGGGGGGUAGGAACGUGGUGUCCCUCAGCCACAGCUGCUGCCUGCUGGAGCCUCCCACGGUGAGUGGGAACCGGCAGCGCCCGGCACAGCCCCGGGGAUGGCUGCAGAGCUUGACGUCAGGAGUGCAGAAACCUCACGCUUCGUUCUGACAACGCCGUUUUUCAGAGGAAGUCAAACCACCCCCCCCAAAAAAAAGAGGGGGGGGAGGGAAAAAGAAAAGAAAGCAAAAAUCCCCAACUUUGAGGAGAAAGAAUGUGGAAGUGGAAGGAGGGGGGGAUGGGGGCACCCGCGGGGGCUGCAGCAGUGCAAAGAGUGCAUCUGAACCCCAGGG